CACUUUAAUUAAUUCUGCACAUAUCUCAAUACAAAUACUUAAUCUAUUGAUAAUUAUUAGCUUGAGCUUAUAUUAGAUGCGCUCAAUUUUUAGUAUUCCACCUUCUAAAAAAUCACACCAUCCAAUUUCUUAACUCUAAUUUGCAUUAAAAACAUUUAACUAUAGUUUCAUUAUGCUAAAUUCAAAAAUUUCCACUUAAUGUAAG
rnacentral:misc_RNA from 1 species